rnacentral:tRNA from 1 species
GCCCUAGUAGCUUAACCUCAAAGCGCCGGUCUUGUAAUCCGGAGAUCGGAGGUUAGAAUCCUCCCUAGCGCC